rnacentral:ncRNA from 1 species
GCAUAAAUGUUGAUUGGAAGAGUAUAAUUAUUAUUCAUUAUAGAAAGUUAAUGGUUGAUGGAAAUUAAUGUGAAAAUAAUUAGAAAGACACCAGGAGUGCUUAAAGAAAUAUAGUAGAAUAAGCCGGUUAAAACCGUUAUAUUUAAAGAGUGACUUUUUAUAGUAAUAAAGGUGGUACCGCGGAUUAACAGUGAUUCGUCCUUUUU